ensembl:snoRNA SNORD24 Small nucleolar RNA SNORD24
UGCAGAUGAUGUGAAGAAUAUUUGCUAACUGAUAAGCCAUGCUGACUCUCACCAAGAUCACUGAUGCA